rnacentral:rRNA from 1 species
GAUGAACGCUAGCGGCAGGCUUAAUACAUGCAAGUCGAGGGGCAGCAUGAUUGUAGCAAUACAAUUGAUGGCGACCGGCAAACGGGUGCGGAACACGUACACAACCUCCCAAUAAGUGGGGAAUAGCCCAGAGAAAUUUGGAUUAAUACCCCGUAGCAUAACGAUGUGGCAUCACAUUGUUAUUAUAGAUUUUUCGCUUAUUGAUGGGUGUGCGGCUGAUUAGAUAGUUGGCGGGGUAACGGCCCACCAAGUCUACGAUCAGUAGCUGAUGUGAGAGCAUGAUCAGCCACACGGGCACUGAGACACGGGCCCGACUCCUACGGGAGGCAGCAGUAAGGAAUAUUGGACAAUGGACGCAAGUCUGAUCCAGCCAUGCCGCGUGAAGGAUUAAGGUCCUCUGGAUUGUAAACUUCUUUUAUAAGGGACGAAAAAAGGCUUUUCUAAGUCGUCUGACGGUACCUUAUGAAUAAGCACCGGCUAACUCCGUGCCAGCCGCCGCAGUAAAAC